rnacentral:lncRNA from 1 species
CUCUGUUCUUGUGCAAGCAUCCAUGAAAGUCUGUGCAAUGACUGACAAGGAAGCAUCCACUACUUCAUGAACGUGAACAUCAAAGAUGAAGUGGGGAUUUUUCAGUAUGUUUACCCAGAAUCUAAGAGGCAAGCUGUUUGUUUUCCAGAUGUGAAUGGUAUCUUCAUCCUUGAUGUCAUGUUUUUCUGCUUGCUCAUCAAGAAAGUCAAAGAAGUAUUUCACAGCUGGUGGCACUACAUGGUUUGAGUUGAGCACACUAUGAAAGAAGUCAUCUACAAACUGCUGAAGUGUUCCCUUCACAGACAGAAGUCUUGUCAGGUAGAUUUCUGUAAUAGCUUUGGUUCUUUCUUUUUCUUUCACACUGCCUCUCUUCGAUUUGCUUUCAUCAAUUUCAUCUACGGGCCGGACUAGGUGCCAGACCUUAUUUUCAUCUUCCAGAAGCGCGUGCCUUUCCCCUGGGACAUCUUGCUGAUUAUCCUCUGGCUGCUGGGAAAUUCCCAUUUUUGAUAAGAUGAGUGUGGCACCAUCUCGGACAUUAUAAUGCAUCAGUGUGUUGAUACGUUUCCAUCUGCCAUCUCUUUGGGAAGUUAAAUCCAAGUCUGAGAGGAUCUGUGCAGUAGAACCUGGACGCCACUCAAGAGCUACACUCUCAGCUUUUGGCCACUGAGAGCACGGCAGAUUUCGAUAGACUUGGUCUAUUAUCUUUUCCUUUACUUGCGAUAUAGUAUCACAGUUCAGCACUUUCACAGGUGUAGAAUCAGUUCCUCCAUCUUGUACAUACACAUUUACUGUCAACUGUGUAUACUCUACAUCAUCUCCUAGUAAGCCUGUAUCAUUCAGUGUAUACUUGGCUUUCUUCAGUACAGCAUCCACUGGACCUUUUUCUACCUGGUGUUUGAUGGCUUUGAACAAUUUGUAAAGAGGCUCCCCAGCAUUGUCCUUGAGGUACUGAUAUAAACAAAUAGACAUCCAGUUAGACAACAUUCUCUCAACAACUGUUUCAGAUCUUCUUAGCAUCAACUUUGGGUUUUUGGCCACCACGUACUGCUCCAUCAGUUCUAAGAACAGAGUCCUCAUGAUGUCAGUAUAGUAUUCUAGUUUUCCAUGUAAAGCGACCGUCAGUAGAGAGGCAAAAUACACUUUAGCUCGAGCAGAGAACUCCCUUUGGUUUUCCAGAGUGUGAAUAAAAUUAAUGAGAAAUGAUUUGCUAUUGAGGAGGUUGGAGAACUGGUUCAGAGCCUGCUCCACAGUCUGCCGCCGAGCCUCUGGAAUGUCCAGCUUCCCUGUAAUCAUCACGUCCUUCUCCCCAUCUUUGGAAGGCAAGAAGAAGACUCUGUCUGUGUACGUUUUGUAGUCCAGUACUGGGAUUCCAGCUUCGUUUACAUCAUUUGUCUGAUCCUCCAUCUCUAUCAUUAGAUCUGUGAAUUCCUUCUUGCACCGGUCUCUGACACUCUCCUCCAGGCCUUCAAGUUGUGAUUUAAUUUUUUCAUACUCUCGUUCUGCUUGCUGGCUCUUCCGUCUGUAACAGAUGAUAGAAAUGAUGAUGAUUGCUAUCAUAGGAAUAAGUACCAGUGGCAAAAUAAGAUUCAGGGGGAUGUCACUCACACGUGUAUCAUAUUCCACCCUUCCAAGGACCCAUUCACGGAGUCCAAAUUUCACAAUGAAUUCUGGAAGGUUAUUGAUCAUAUCCCUCUUCUGCCUUUUCUUUGGUUGUGGCUGUACUUCAGGUGGCUCACAAUAUAAGUCUGUUUCGGUCAGUGUUUUUAUGUUGCAUGGCUCAUCACCUACAAAAGCCUGGGCCUCAUCUAUCGUCAUGGCUUUGUUCAGGUUACUGCCCUUUGCAUUUAUAAGUUUGUUGACUUGCUUUUUGAUGCCAUCUGUGAAAUUUUCAAAAGUCGGGUCUGCAACAUAUGUAAAUGAAUGGCUCUCAUUUUUUACAACCAACUGAUAAUGAUCCAUUAGAAUAAUAGUGGUAAUGUUAUAGUUUUCUGGAUCUUCCAAUACUGGUAGUGAAGAAAAAACCACUGUGGUUUCAUUAAGUCUUGUAACACAGUUUCCAACAAACGUUUUGGAGCUCAGUUUGCCUGCUUCUGGACGCUCCGCAUGUACCAUCAGUGAGAAACUCUGGAUGAGUUCAAACCCAGUUCCAGUUACCGUAAUAUUUCUCCCUCCACUGCUGAAGCUAUUUAUGGGCUUGAAUUUGGUGACAGUAGGAUUCUCACUGUAUGAAAAAUGCACUGGUACAACAAUUUUUGUUCCCCCAUAGUGCAUUGUGACUCCAACAGCUUCAACCUUGCUAUUACGUCCCGUAAUGCAAACAAUCUCAUCUCCAAAUUCAGUGACAUUGCAAGGCUGGCUACCGAGAAGAACACGAACAUCCUUCUUGGAACCAGUUGCCAGGUUCAUACCAGUGAUGGUAAGUGUGGUUCCACCUGCUUGUGGACCACUUUGAGGUCUUAUGCCAGUAGGGUGAGGGUCCUGGUAUGUAAACUGCACAUCACUUGGUGAUUUACCUAAUUUUCCAUUGAUGUUAACUUCAAUUUGACCUUGUUUAGGAACCUUCAUUUCUCCAACUUGACACACAAUCCUUGUGGAAACAGAGUAGAAUUCCUCCUUGAAAACACAUUCCUUGUCUGCCACCGUUAUAUUUUUUACAUCUUCUGCUUUUAUUCCCAAAUUAGAUCCCAUUAUGGUCAAAAGAAUUCCACCAUCCAGUGGUCCAGUCUUUGGCUCAAUGCGAGUGAUUUCUGGAUGAGGACACGUGUUGGUGGGAGGAGCACGACACAGCUUCUCAUACACACACUUGCUUGGCUUGCCAUCCUCUUCACACCAGACACACUUAUAGUCUUCAUGGGCGGCAAGACACAAACUGCAAUCACUUCUUCCAUAGGAGCAAUUGUACAGAGUCACCAUCAGUUUGCUGUCAAUCUUAACCUUCCCCGUUCUCAUGGAUAAUUUAAGUUUUAAGGUUUCAUUUGCACUAUAGGAGAACUCUUUAGUCGUGAAUGAAAAUCUUCCUUCAUCUGCUGCCUCAACAGAAGCUUCAAAUUCAAAUUGGCUGUUUCCAACCAUAAAUUUUUCAUCCUGAUAAUAAGCUAGAUGUCUUCCCUCAAAAUGCACUGUUGUUCGGUACUCCAUAGGUAUUAUUGAUGGGUUAGGGUUUAGAAACUGUGGGCAUUCUUCUUCCAUAUUUUGUUUGAUCACAUCCUGUGCUGAAGAAGAUUCUUCACAGAUAUGUUUCUUCCAGUCCCACUGGCAAUUCCAUCUAUUGCUUGCACAAGAAUAGCAUGGCUGGUUUUCAUAAAGAUUCAUUGCUUCUUCACAGUCAUAAAAAGGGUAAGUAUGUGAUGCAAAAAAUAUCUUGUUCUCUCCAAAGGUUAACUGUAAUGGAACUGAAACGUGAUCUUGACCUUUCGGUGUUGGCGGAAUCAUAUCAGGUGGGUCACAGAUAAUAACUCCUUCAUUUAAUUGAGCACGAUGGCUUGUUUCACCAAAGGUACACCAAAGUUUGUCACUGGUGCUCAAAGUUGGCAGUGGACUUACUGUGAGUUUCACCUUAGCAGGGGCUCUACGACUCAUGUUUUGAGGGUCUGCACUGAUGAUAGUCAUACAUGUGCCACUUGGACUCCAGAGCCAGUCGUUCUCCUUAUCAGCCAUUUCACAGUCUGCCCUCUUUGUGCACCUGCCCUCCCGCACACACCAGCCGCAGUACGGGUCCUGAGCCUGCGUGCACUUCUCACAGUCUGAAUACUUGUGGCACUGCUGUACGGGAAGGCGAUGCACCUUGUCUGUGGUCAUCACAUAUAGAUAUUCUUGGGUUUUGUCAAGGACCAGAUCAUUCUUUAUGGGUUUAUUUAGUUCAAUAGUCAGAGAGCUGUACUCGAUUACAGUGGAUGACAGGAACACCUUAAGAAUUUUUCCAUCCGAAGUCCCCAGAAAGGCCACGGUGUGCCCAUUCUCCACAGUCACUGUAACAGCCGUGAGAUUCAUCCCUUCUUUUUGUAAUACUGGCUUCUCUAUAACACCAUUUUUACUUCCCAAGAGGUAUGGUAAGUGUUCAGAGCCACAGGGGAAAUUUUUGCUUGCAUUCUGUCCAUGUUGUCCACAUGGGUUUUCUACUGCAAAGAGUUUGUAAAACAUGCUGGUAUUCUUAUUUGUGUAGCAAUCAUCCCGG